UACGUAGGGUGCAAGCGUUGUCCGGAAUUAUUGGGCGUAAAGAGUUCGUAGGCGGUUUGUCGCGUCCGUUGUGAAAGCUUGGGGCUCAACCCCCAAGUCUGCAGUGGAUACGGGCAGACUAGAGUCAGCUAGGGGGUAAUGGAAUUCCCGGUGUAGUGGUGGAAUGCGUAGAUAUCGGGAGGAACACCAGUGGCGAAGGCGGUUACCUGGAGCUUUGCUGACGCUGAUGCGCGAAAGCGUGGGGAGCGAGUCCGG
rnacentral:rRNA from 1 species